rnacentral:lncRNA from 1 species
AGCACUCUGCGCCGUUCUCCAUUCGUUACUUUCUAAGGCCUUCCAUCUUCGUUUCAACUCCAAUGGCCGUGGAGAGAAAGCGAAAAUCCAGCCUCUAGGUACGUCUAAACACUCUAAUCUCCCUUUUUUAUCUUUCGUUGAAUGAUUUGCAUUCGAAACACCAAAGAAAAAAAGGAAAAGAAGCAAAAAUAAAAAAAGGCGAAAGUUAAAUCACCUUUCAGGUUUUUUUUUUUGAAUUUUUUUGUAUUCAAUAUAUGUGUGUAUGUCCAACCUUACAAACACUAAAAGAUGGCCUUAUAUAGCCGAAUCAAAAAGAAAAGAAAUAAAUCAAAAUACAUUUGUUUUUUUUCUACCAUUUUUGCCUUAUUUUCCUUUUGUGUUUUUUUUUCAUUUUUUUUGCUGCUUGUUUGUUUGUUUGCGUUGUUUGUUCGUCCUUCCUGCAGGUACGGAGGAGUCUAGUUGGUGGUACGAAGACCAACGUGGCGUGGAGGCGCUGCAUGCGUGGGGAGUGGCUCGGCACGCGCGAAGGGUGGCCUUGGUGGCUGCGGCGCUGGCGAAAACCCUAGAAGCCUUUAGGGUUCUCCACUGAUUCGGGCUGAGUUCCGGGCCUGGGAGAUUCGGGUUUAGAAAAUUGGGUUUCGGGUCUACUAAAUUUGGGUAGUUUAGGUUAAAACGGUUUGGGCCAUAUUGUAGUUGGG